rnacentral:rRNA from 1 species
CCCUUAGAUGUUCUGGGCCGCACGCGCGCUACACUGUUCGACGCAGCGAGUCUUAACCUUGACCGAAAGGUUUGGGUAAUCUUCAGCAAAGUCGAACGUGAUGGGGAUCGAUCAUUGCAAUUAUUGAUCGUGAACGAGGAAUUCCUAGUAAGUGCAAGUCAUCAGCUUGCGCUGAUUACGUCCCUGCCCUUUGUACACACCGCCCGUCGCUACUACCGAUUGAAUGGUUUAGUGAGAUCUCUGGAUUGACGCUGGCUAGGGGGCGACCCUUGGCCAGACUGUUGAGAAACUGCUCAAACUUGAUCAUGUAGAGGAAGUAAAAGUCGUAACA